GGUCCAGUAGCCAAGCGGUAAGGCAACGGUCUGCAAAACCGUUAUCACCGGUUCGAUUCCGGUCUGGACCUCCA
rnacentral:tRNA from 2 species